UAUAUAGAUAUAGAAUUGAACAAUGGCAUUUUAAAAUGUAUAUAUACUGUAUAGGUAACUAAUUGUUUUAUAUAUGGUUUUGCGCAUUUUGACUUUGGUUUACUCACAAGGGAGUCUCCACAACACCGACUUAUAGACACACAUCUUAUAAGGGCGUUGAGACUCUGACAAUAUAGAGAACAUGACACACAAAACAAAACGUGUAUAUCAAAUCAUACAGAGGAGAAAUUAAAAACAAAACAAAAAACAUCGUCAGUGAAUUGAGGCCAUGCAAAAGAACAGAGAGAGAGAGAGAGACAGACAGAUGGAGGUAUAUAGAGAGAGUGCCAAAACUACAACAGCAUUAUGAUUAGUGAUAUACAACAUAUUUAAUAAUACUACCAUAAUACAAACGGCAAAAGCGUU